rnacentral:sRNA from 2 species
UUUAGUGGGUAGCCUAAUUCAAAUUGAGCCUGAAAUAAUUUGGAACGGAGGAACCAUCUUAAGGGGCGCAUCUUACAAACGAGUCGCCAACCCAGAGUAAAAAGCGAAAACUAUUAAUAGCUAACUCAGCACGUGCGAAACGCGCAGCUACCGCUAACAUAACUGGGAACUCAGCACUCAAAAGAGAGACACCUUCCAGUCUUAGCCCGUCAGCUAACUCCGUAGGCAAUGGAAGGAACC